rnacentral:rRNA from 1 species
AGUGAACGCUGGCGGUAGGCCUAACACAUGCAAGUCGAACGGCAGCACAGUAAGAGCUUGCUCUUACGGGUGGCGAGUGGCGGACGGGUGAGGAAUACAUCGGAAUCUACUUUUUCGUGGGGGAUAACGUAGGGAAACUUACGCUAAUACCGCAUACGACCUACGGGUGAAAGCAGGGGAUCUUCGGACCUUGCGCGAUUGAAUGAGCCGAUGUCGGAUUAGCUAGUUGGCGGGGUAAAGGCCCACCAAGGCGACGAUCCGUAGCUGGUCUGAGAGGAUGAUCAGCCACACUGGAGCUGAGACACGGUCCAGACUCCUGCGGGAGGCAGCAGUGGGGAAUAUUGGACAAUGGGCGCAAGCCUGAUCCAGCCAUACCGCGUGGGUGAAGAAGGCCUUCGGGUUGUAAAGCCCUUUUGUUGGGAAAGAAAAGCAGCAGGUUAAUACCCCGCUGUUCUGACGGUACCCAAAGAAUAAGCACCGGCUAACUUCGUG